rnacentral:rRNA from 1 species
UACAUAGGGUGCAAGCGUUUGUCCGGAAUUAUUGGGCGUAAAGAGCUCGUAGGUGGUUCGUCACGUCGGAUGUGAAACUCUGGGGCUUAACCCCAGACCUGCAUUCGAUACGGGCGAGCUUGAGUAUGGUAGGGGAGUCUGGAAUUCCUGGUGUAGCGGUGGAAUGCGCAGAUAUCAGGAGGAACACCAAUGGCGAAGGCAGGACUCUGGGAUAACACUGACGCUCGAUGCUCGAAAGCGUGGGGAGCAAACAGG